GUGCUAACUUCUCCACUUAGAUGUAUUUAUAUGGUUCUUAUGCUAUUCAUGCUAGGUUUCCAUAUUUAGCCUCAUGAUGAGGUCACAGUUGCAAAAUUGGUGUGUGAAAUUCCAUGAUUCAAGAGCUCCAUCCCACAGCAAAAGCUAGGUGUAACAUUGGCGAAGCAACAGUCUGGAAGAUCACAGUGUAGAAGUGUAAAUGGCUGAGGUUUAGUAAUGUUCUCGCUGGUCAGCAAGGCUUCUGCCUGCACCCAUCAAGUCACCACUCCUGGCACUUGAGGACUUCUCAGUAGGUGAAGGCAGUUGGAAAGAACAUUUGCUAUGACACCAGGACUGUGCUCUCAGCCCAGAAGAUUCCUCAAUGAAGGAGGAUAAGAAGUCCAUCACAAACUACGAGAUGGGAGUAGCAGAAGAACAGCACUGAAGACCUCAGUAUGUCAGGGCCAGCUGCUGUAGAAACAAAUAUUCUUCUUCAGAGCACUUCAACAUGCCAUACAGGACAUCUUGGGAGACACUGUACAAUAAACAUUGACCCUAGUGACAGUACUGGGGGUCUUGCAUACCAUAACACAUUAGGAAAACCCAAAAAUUAUUUGUUAUAACUAUAUGUUCAAAAUAAAAACUGAAACUG